rnacentral:rRNA from 1 species
UGGGGAAUAUUGGACAAUGGGCGCAAGCCUGAUCCAGCCAUGCCGCGUGAGUGAUGAAGGCCCUAGGGUUGUAAAGCUCUUUCACCGGUGAAGAUAAUGACGGUAACCGGAGAAGAAGCCCCGGCUAACUUCGUGCCAGCAGCCGCGGUAAUACGAAGGGGGCUAGCGUUGUUCGGAUUUACUGGGCGUAAAGCACACGUAGGCGGACUUUUAAGUCAGGGGUGAAAUCCCGGGGCUCAACCCCGGAACUGCCUUUGAUACUGGAAGUCUUGAGUAUGGUAGAGGUGAGUGGAAUUCCGAGUGUAGAGGGGAAAUUCGUAGAUAUUCGGAGGAAAACCAGUGGCGAAGGCGGCUCACUGGACCAUUACUGACGAUGAGGUGCGAAAGCGUGGGGAGCAAACAGG